UACAGAGGUCCCAAGCGUUGUUCGGAUUCAUUGGGCGUAAAGGGUGCGUAGGCGGCCAACUAAGUCGGACGUGAAAUCCCCAGGCUUAACUUGGGAACUGCGUCCGAUACUGGAUGGCUUGAAUCCGGGAGAGGGAUGCGGAAUUCCAGGUGUAGCGGUGAAAUGCGUAGAUAAUCUGGAGGAACACCGGUGGCGAAGGCGGCAUCCUGGACCGGUAUUGACGCUGAGUGAGCGAAAGCCAGGG
rnacentral:rRNA from 1 species